UGAACCAGUACCGUGAGGGAAAGGCGAAAAGAACCCCGGCGAGGGGAGUGAAAAAGAACCUGAAACCGUGUACGUACAAGCAGUGGGAGCCUCUUAAUGGGGUGACUGCGUACCUUUUGUAUAAUGGGUCAGCGACUUAUAUUCUGUAGCAAGGUUAACCGAAUAGGGGAGCCGAAGGGAAACCGAGUCUUAACUGGGCGCUAAGUUGCAGGGUAUAGACCCGAAACCCGGUGAUCUAGCCAUGGGCAGGUUGAAGGUUGGGUAACACUAACUGGAGGACCGAACCGACUAAUGUUGAAAAAUUAGCGGAUGACUUGUGGCUGGGGGUGAAAGGCCAAUCAAACCGGGAGAUAGCUGGUUCUCCCCGAAAGCUAUUUAGGUAGCGCCUCGUGAAUUCAUCUCCGGGGGUAGAGCACUGUUUCGGCAAGGGGGUCAUCCCGACUUACCAACCCGAUGCAAACUGCGAAUACCGGAGAAUGUUAUCACGGGAGACACACGGCGGGUGCUAACGUCCGUCGUGAAGAGGGAAACAACCCAGACCGCCAGCUAAGGUCCCAAAGUCAUGGUUAAGUGGGAAACGAUGUGGGAAGGCCCAGACAGCCAGGAUGUUGGCUUAGAAGCAGCCAUCAUUUAAAGAAAGCGUAAUAGCUCACUGGUCGAGUCGGCCUGCGCGGAAGAUGUAACGGGGCUAAACCAUGCACCGAAGCUGCGGCAGCGACACUAUGUGUUGUUGGGUAGGGGAGCGUUCUGUAAGCCUGUGAAGGUGGCCUGUGAGGGUUGCUGGAGGUAUCAGAAGUGCGAAUGCUGACAUAAGUAACGAUAAAGCGGGUGAAAAGCCCGCUCGCCGGAAGACCAAGGGUUCCUGUCCAACGUUAAUCGGGGCAGGGUGAGUCGACCCCUAAGGCGAGGCCGAAAGGCGUAGUCGAUGGGAAACAGGUUAAUAUUCCUGUACUUGGUGUUACUGCGAAGGGGGGACGGAGAAGGCUAUGUUGGCCGGGCGACGGUUGUCCCGGUUUAAGCGUGUAGGCUGGUUUUCCAGGCAAAUCCGGAAAACCAAGGCUGAGGCGUGAUGACGAGGCACUACGGUGCUGAAGCGACAAAUGCCCUGCUUCCAGGAAAAGCCUCUAAGCAUCAGGUAACAUCAAAUCGUACCCCAAACCGACACAGGUGGUCAGGUAGAGAAUACCAAGGCGCUUGAGAGAACUCGGGUGAAGGAACUAGGCAAAAUGGUGCCGUAACUUCGGGAGAAGGCACGCUGAUAUGUAGGUGAAGCGACUUGCUCGUGGAGCUGAAAUCAGUCGAAGAUACCAGCUGGCUGCAACUGUUUAUUAAAAACACAGCACUGUGCAAACACGAAAGUGGACGUAUACGGUGUGACGCCUGCCCGGUGCCGGAAGGUUAAUUGAUGGGGUUAGCGGUAACGCGAAGCUCUUGAUCGAAGCCCCGGUAAACGGCGGCCGUAACUAUAACGGUCCUAAGGUAGCGAAAUUCCUUGUCGGGUAAGUUCCGACCUGCACGAAUGGCGUAAUGAUGGCCAGGCUGUCUCCACCCGAGACUCAGUGAAAUUGAACUCGCUGUGAAGAUGCAGUGUACCCGCGGCAAGACGGAAAGACCCCGUGAACCUUUACUAUAGCUUGACACUGAACAUUGAGCCUUGAUGUGUAGGAUAGGUGGGAGGCUUUGAAGUGUGGACGCCAGUCUGCAUGGAGCCGACCUUGAAAUACCACCCUUUAAUGUUUGAUGUUCUAACGUUGGCCCCUAAUCGGGGUUGCGGACAGUGUCUGGUGGGUAGUUUGACUGGGGCGGUCUCCUCCUAAAGAGUAACGGAGGAGCACGAAGGUUGGCUAAUCCUGGUCGGACAUCAGGAGGUUAGUGCAAUGGCAUAAGCCAGCUUGACUGCGAGCGUGACGGCGCGAGCAGGUGCGAAAGCAGGUCAUAGUGAUCCGGUGGUUCUGAAUGGAAGGGCCAUCGCUCAACGGAUAAAAGGUACUCCGGGGAUAACAGGCUGAUACCGCCCAAGAGUUCAUAUCGACGGCGGUGUUUGGCACCUCGAUGUCGGCUCAUCACAUCCUGGGGCUGAAGUAGGUCCCAAGGGUAUGGCUGUUCGCCAUUUAAAGUGGUACGCGAGCUGGGUUUAGAACGUCGUGAGACAGUUCGGUCCCUAUCUGCCGUGGGCGCUGGAGAACUGAGGGGGGCUGCUCCUAGUACGAGAGGACCGGAGUGGACGCAUCACUGGUGUUCGGGUUGUCAUGCCAAUGGCACUGCCCGGUAGCUAAAUGCGGAAGAGAUAAGUGCUGAAAGCAUCUAAGCACGAAACUUGCCCCGAGAUGAGUUCUCCCUGAGACUUAGAGUCUCCUGAAGGAACGUUGAAG
rnacentral:rRNA from 1 species